GAUGAACGCUGGCGGCGUGCUUAACACAUGCAAGUCGAACGAUAAAGCCCAGCUUGCUGGGGGGAUUCGUGGCGAACGGGGGAGUAACACGCGAGUAACCCCUGCCUUACUCUGGGAUAAGCCUUGAGAACUGGGGCUCAUACUGCAGAUGACUUCUCCUCGCAUGGUGGGGGGGUGGAAAAUUUGGUGGUCUUGGAUGGACUCGCGGCGUAUCAGCUUGUUGGUGUGGUAUUGGCUCACCAAGGCGCUGACGGGUAGCCGGCCUGAGAGGGUGACCGGCCACACUGGGACUGAGACACGGCCCAGACUCCUACGGGAGGCAGCAGUGGGGAAUAUUGCACAAUGGGCGGAAGCCUGAUGCAGCGACGCCGCGUGAGGGAUGACGGCCUUCGGGUUGUAAACCUCUUUCAGUAGGGAAGAAGCGAGAGUGACGGUACCGGGAGAAGAAGCGCCGGCUAACUACGUG
rnacentral:rRNA from 1 species